AGUGAACGCUGGCGGUAGGCCUAACACAUGCAAGUCGAACGGCAGCACAGGAGAGCUUGCUCUCUGGGUGGCGAGUGGCGGACGGGUGAGGAAUACAUCGGAAUCUACUCUGUCGUGGGGGAUAACGUAGGGAAACUUACGCUAAUACCGCAUACGACCUACGGGUGAAAGCAGGGGACCUUCGGGCCUUGCGCGAUUGAAUGAGCCGAUGGAGGAUUAGCUAGUUGGGGGGGUAAAGGCCCACCAAGGCGACGAUCCGUAGCUGGUCUGAGGGAGUGAUAAGCCACAUUGGAACGAGGAGACGGGCCAGACUCCUACGGGAGGCAGCAGUGGGGAAUAUUGGACAAUGGGCGCAAGCCUGAUCCAGCCAUACCGCGUGGGUGAAGAAGGCCUUCGGGUUGUAAAGCCCUUUUGUUGGGAAAGAAAUCCAGCUGGCUAAUACCCGGUUGGGAUGACGGUACCCAAAGAAUAAGCACCGGCUAACUUCGUGCCAGCCGCCGCCGUAA
rnacentral:rRNA from 1 species